AAAAAGACAAACCCUGCUUUCCAUGUCCAACAUUUAACCGUCCGUCUUAUUUAAAAAAAUUAUGAAAAAAUUAAAAAGACAAGUCACGUAUAAAAUAUUAAUCAUGUUUUAUCAUUUAACAAUAAUAAAAAUAGAAAUUAUAAAAAAAUUUUAUAUAAGACGAACAGUUAAAGUUGAAAAAAAAACCUAGGGUUUGUCUUUUU
rnacentral:pre_miRNA from 1 species